rnacentral:rRNA from 1 species
UGGGGAAUAUUGCACAAUGGGCGAAAGCCUGAUGCAGCGACGCCGCGUGAGGGAUGACGGCCUUCGGGUUGUAAACCUCUUUCAGCAGGGAAGAAGCGAAAGUGACGGUACCUGCAGAAGAAGCGCCGGCUAACUACGUGCCAGCAGCCGCGGUAAUACGUAGGGCGCAAGCGUUGUCCGGAAUUAUUGGGCGUAAAGAGCUCGUAGGCGGUUAGUCGCGUCUGCUGUGAAAACUCGAGGCUCAACCUCGGGCUUGCAGUGGGUACGGGCUGACUAGAGUGCGGUAGGGGUGACUGGAAUUCCUGGUGUAGCGGUGGAAUGCGCAGAUAUCAGGAGGAACACCGAUGGCGAAGGCAGGUCACUGGGCCGCAACUGACGCUGAGGAGCGAAAGCAUGGGGAGCGAACAGGAUUAGAUAGCCCUGGUAGUCCAUGCCGUAAACGUUGGGCACUAGG